UACGUAGGAGGCGAGCGUUGUCCGGAUUUACUGGGCGUAAAGCGCGCGCAGGCGGCUCUGUAAGUAAGGUGUGAAAUCGCCCUGCUCAACGGGGAGGGUGCAUUUUAGACUGCAGAGCUAGAGGACGGUAGAGGGGGGUGGAAUUGCUGGUGUAGCGGUGAAAUGCGUAGAGAUCAGCAGGAACACCCGUGGCGAAGGCGGCCCCCUGGGCCGAACCUGACGCUGAGGCGCGAAAGCUAGGGGAGCGAACGGG
rnacentral:rRNA from 1 species